GCCCGAGAGGAGCUGGGGGAGGGCGCUGGCCCACGAGGCUCAUCGCAGACAACGUCGCGGCAAUGUCCGCGAGCCAGGCCAGUGCCGCGUCCACAGCGGGCGGACCUUGCGCGCAGCAGGGCGGCCUGGGCCAGGGCCUCCCUCCGGUUCCCUGGAAGCGGGCCCGCGGCGAGCACCGAAGCAGCAGCAGAGGCGGAGGCUCCAGCGCCUCUCUCUCUUCUCCCUCAGCCUGAGCCGGGGGAGUCCAGGCGGCCCGGGUGUCUGGAGCGGGGGUCCGUGCCCGAGAAUGAGAAUUUUCUUCACCAGAACAUGGAGACUGUUCCAUCACCAGGAGCACAAAGUUUUCGUUGUUGGGCUGGAUAAUGCAGGGAAACUACCAUUCUCUACCAGUUUUCCAUGAAUGAAGUUGUACAUAUAUCUCCUACAAGAGGAAGUCAUGUACAAAAGAGAGUGAUUAAUAAUACACGUUUCCUAACGUGGGAUAUUGGUGGCCAAGAAUCUCUUCGUUCUUUCUGGAACACCUACUAUACUAACAUAGCGUUUGUAAUAGUGUGGGAAGUACAGAGAGAGGAUUUCUGUAACUAGAGAAGAACUCUAAAAUGUUAGUGCUUGAGGACCUAAGAAAAGCCUGAUUGCUGAGUUUAGCUAAUAAACAAGAUGUUAAAGAAUGCAUGACUGUAGCAGAAAUCGGCCAGUUUUUGAAGCUACCUUCUGUUAAAGAUCACCAGUGGCAUAUCCAGGCAUGAUGUGCUCUUAACUGGCGAGGGAUUGUGCCGAAGACUUGAAUGGGUGAUGUCUUGACUUAAGAUUAGAUGA